rnacentral:rRNA from 1 species
CCUACGGGAGGCAGCAGUGAGGAAUAUUGGUCAAUGGGCGCGAGCCUGAACCAGCCAAGUAGCGUGAAGGAUGACGUCCCUACGUGUUGUAAACUUCAUUUAUAAGGGAAUAAAAUGAGGCACGUGUGCCUUUUUGUAUGUACUUUAUGAAUAAGGAUCGGAUAACUCCGUGCCAGCAGCCGCGGUAAUACGGAGGAUCCGAGCGUUAUCCGGAUUUAUUGGGUUUAAAGGGAGCGUAGAUGGGUUGUUAAGUCAGUUGUGAAAGUUUGCGGCUCAACCGUAAAAUUGCAAUUGAUACUGGCAGGCUUGAGUACAGUAGAGGUAGGCGGAAUUCGUGGUGUAGCGGUGAAAUGCUUAGAUAUCACGAAGAACUCCGAUGGCGAAGGCAGCUUACUAAACUGCAACUGACAUUGAUGCUCGAAAGUGUGGGUAUCAAACAGGAUUAGAUACCCGAGUAGUC